UUGGAGGGCAAGUCUGGUGCCAGCAGCCGCGGUAAUUCCAGCUCCAAUAGCGUAUAUUAAAGUUGUUGCAGUUAAAAAGCUCGUAGUUGAAUUUCGGGAUCAAAUUGUCGGUCGUGCCUCGGUACGCACUGGUAUUAUUGGUUCCUACCUUCUGAAGAACCGCGAUGUCAUUAAUUUGGUGUCGUGGGGAAUCAGGACUGUUACUUUGAAAAAAUUAGAGUGUUUAAAGCAGGCUUACGCUUGAAUACAUUAGCAUGGAAUAAUGAAAUAGGACGUCUGAUUCUAUUUUGUUGGUUUCUAGGAUUGACGUAAUGAUUAAUAGGGAUAGUUGGGGGCAUUAGUAUUCAAUUGUCAGAGGUGAAAUUCUUGGAUUUAUUGAAGACUAACUACUGCGAAAGCAUUUGCCAAGGAUGUUUUCAUUAAUCAAGAACGAAAGUUAGGGGAUCGAAGACGAUCAGAUACCGUCGUAGUCUUAACCAUAAACUAUGCCGACUAGGGAUCGGAUGAUGUUAAUUUUUUAAUGACUCUUUCGGCGCCUUACGGGAAACCAAAGUGUUUGGGUUC
rnacentral:rRNA from 1 species